rnacentral:rRNA from 1 species
AUUGAACGCUGGCGGCAUGCCUUACACAUGCAAGUCGAACGGCAGCACGGGGGCAACCCUGGUGGCGAGUGGCGAACGGGUGAGUAAUACAUCGGAACGUACCUUAUCGUGGGGGAUAACGCAGCGAAAGUUGCGCUAAUACCGCAUACGCCCUGAGGGGGAAAGCGGGGGACCGUAAGGCCUCGCGCGAUUAGAGCGGCCGAUGUCUGAUUAGCUUGUUGGUGAGGUAAAAGCUCACCAAGGCGAUGAUCAGUAGCUGGUCUGAGAGGACGAUCAGCCACACUGGGACUGAGACACGGCCCAGACUCCUACGGGAGGCAGCAGUGGGGAAUUUUGGACAAUGGGGGCAACCCUGAUCCAGCAAUGCCGCGUGAGUGAAGAAGGCCUUCGGGUUGUAAAGCUCUUUUGUCAGGGAAGAAACAGCAGCUCUAACACAGUCUGCGAAUGACGGUACCUGAAGAAUAAGCACCGGCUAACUACGUGCCAGCCGCCGCCGUAA